rnacentral:rRNA from 1 species
GAUGAACGCUAGCGGGAGGCUUAACACAUGCAAGUCGUGGGGCAGCACGGGGUGGCAAUACUCUGGUGGCGACCGGCGCACGGGUGAGUAACGCGUAUGCAACCUACCCAGUACAGGGGGAUAGCCCGGAGAAAUUCGGAUUAAUACCCCAUAAUGAUAUUAAGAGGCAUCUUUUAAUAUUUAAAGCUUCGGCGGUACUGGAUGGGCAUGCGUAAGAGUAGUUACUAGUUGGUAGGGUAACGGCCUACCAAGGCUCCGAUCUUUAGGGGUCCUGAGAGCGUGAUCCCCCACACGGGUACUGAGACACGGACCAGGAUGCUACGGGAGGCAGCAGUGAUGAAUAUUGGUCAAUGGGCGCAAGCCUGAACCAGCCAUCCCGCGUGAAGGAAGAAGGCGCUAUGCGUUGUAAACUUCUUUUCCGGAGGAAUAAAAUCUUGUACGCGUACAGGACUGAAGGUACUCCGGGAAUAAGCAUCGGCUAACUCCGUGCCAGCAGCCGCCGUAAUAC